AUGUAAAUAGCCACUGAACUCCAACUUCCUGACAUCCGAUUGAAAUACUUUCUUCUUGAAAGUUGUUUGUCCGCCUAGUACCUAGAACAUAUCCAAAUUUCAGAAAUUGUCAACGGUGCGAUCGUCGUAGAUGACUGAAACUUCAACUCAGCUUCCAUUUCCGCAGAAAACUGGACAGCCAUCUUAUGAGUACCAAACCUUCAUUUUCAGAAGCUCAGCUCGAAACUGUUUCUUCACGAAAGUUGUUUGGACCUGAAGUUCCUUGAUCAGAUCAGAACCUGCAGUUUCUUGAUCCUCAUCAUAUAAAAUGAUUGGACCCGAAGUUCCAUCAUACAAAAGGAUCUGGCAUGAAGUCCCUUGAUCCUGAAGAUCAGGACAUGAAGUUCCUAGAUGAGUACCGUAAGUUUGAAGUGCCGCAGUGCCUUAACUUAAUUGUAAUAAAAGCCAUAAGAGUCUUAGUUUACAGACUAUUAAAUAAGGACCAGAAGUUCCUUAUGUCCAUACUCAAAAUGGUUUAGCAGAAGCCUUUAUUAAGCGAAUGAAAUUGAUUUCCCGCGCUCUGCUCAUGAAAACGAAAUUGCCAAUU
rnacentral:sRNA from 1 species